UUUGUACUCCCUCCAUCCCAAAAUUCUUGUCUUAAAUUUUUCUAAAUACGGAUGUAUCUAGUUAUAUUUUAGUGUUAGAUACAUCCGUAUCUAAACAAAUGUAAGACAAGAAUUUUGGGACGGAGGGAGUACUAC
rnacentral:pre_miRNA from 1 species